GGUUGACCCUGCCAGUAGCAUAUGCUUGUCUCUGAGACUAAGCCAUGCAUGUCUAAGUAUAAAUUAAUUUUUACGGUGAAACUGCGGACGGCUCAUUAAAUCAGUUAUAACCUACUUGAUCGUGUGACUUUAUUCGGAUAAUCCUAGUAAUUCUAGAGCUAAUACGUGCUAAAAGCCUUAACUUCCAGCAAUGGGGGAAGAGGUGUAUUUAUUAGAAACUAAAGCCAAUCAGCUUCGGCUGUUUGAGAUGAUUCAUAAUAACUCGGCAAAUUACGGGAAAAUUCCUGUGAUGAUUCAAACGGAUUUCUGACCUAUCAACUUUAGAUGGCAAAGUAGGGGUUUGCCAUGGUGACAACGGGUGACGGGGAAUUAGGGUUCGAUUCCGGAGAGGGAGCCUGAGAAACGGCUACCACUUCCAAGGAAGGCAGCAGGCGCGCAAAUUACCCAAUGCUAAUUCGGCGAGGUAGUGACAAGAAAUACCAAUGUAGGACCCAACGGGAACUACGUUUGGAAUGAGAACAAUUUAAAAACCUUAACGAGGAACAAUUGGAGGGCAAGUCUGGUGCCAGCAGCCGCGGUAAUUCCAGCUCCAAUAGUGUAUAUUAAAGUUGCUGCGGUUAAAAAGCUCGUAGUUGGAUUACGAAGUGGUGUUUAAAUGUCAUUUUGGUUUGUUUGUCUUUCGGGGCAUUCAGGUCAACUUGGCUUUUACUCACUGUUGUCAUUGUCUUUGCCCAAGGUAUAUGCCUUGUGUGCAUGGCAUUGACCUUCUAUUUUAUGGUAAUGUUGUAUCUUUCGGGGUACAUUCAUUCCAUAUAGUUUACUUUGAAAAAAUUAGGGUGUUUAAAGCAGGCGAAAAGGCUUCGGAAUAUAUUAGCAUGGGAUAAUAGAAUACGAUCUAGGUCGUAAUUUGUUGGUUUCUACGGCUCAGGUAAUGAUUGACAGGGAUAGUUGGGGUCGCUCGUAUUGAGUUGUCAGAGGUGAAAUUCUAGGAUUAACUCAAGACGAACUAAUGCGAAAGCAUUCGGCAAGGAUGUUUUCAUUAAUCAAGAACGAAAGUUGGGGGAUCGAAGAUGAUCAGAUACCGUCGUAGUCUCAACUGUAAACUAUGUCGACCGAGGAUCCGGUAGCGUUACAUGGAUGACCUUCCGGGCACUCUGUGAGAAAUCAUAAGUAUUUGGAUUUCGGGGGGAGUAUGGUCGCAAGGCUGAAACUUAAAGGGAUUGACGGAAGGGCACCACCAGGAGUGGAAUCUGCGGCUUAAUUUGACUCAACACGGGAAAACUUACCAGGUCCGGACACAGUGAGGAUUGACAGAUUGAGAGCUCUUUCUUGAUUUUGUGGGUGGUGGUGCAUGGCCGUUUUUAGUUGGUGGAGUGAUUUGUCUGGUUAAUUCCGUUAACGAACGAGACCUUAACCUAUUAAAUAGCUGCGCGAACCCAGGUUCUUUAACCAUUCUCUCCUUCGGGGGGGCGUGGUAUCAUUAUUUUGCUCC
rnacentral:rRNA from 1 species